GUUCAUCGCUUCGCUGCCGGGCGGGCCGGCCCUCAUGGCCUUGGCCAAUCAGCGUGUAGGCGCGCGGGAGCUGAUGCUGUGAGCCAGCCAAUGGCUGCACGGCUCGAGCGGUUGCUGGAGGCGCUGCGGGUGGCCAUCUUGUGGCGGGCUGCAGCAUGGAGGCGAAGCUGCGUAGGGCGGCUUGAGGCGUUCUGUCGUGUUCACCCUAGCCUGUUCGCCUUUACCUCGGGGUGAUGAAGUCUGUCUAAGGCCUUUCGGCACCGACUCUUACGCUUUGCUAAGACAGAGGCAGAAAGGUUUUUAUCUCCCAUUGGUGAUAAAAACAGAAUCACCCAGAGCCCAGUCAUGGAGUUAGCCUUAGAAGGAAUAAUCUUUCUUCAGAGCUGAGGCCUCAGGUAUGCAUACAACAUGCAACACUGCUGUCAAAUACAGGCAAGAACGCUUGAAUUCAACCUUCAAAUUGGGAAAUCACUGGCCUUCUCCAACUCCACUGCCAGCGCAGUAGUGAUAAAGCUCACCUGGACAGCUACAUGGUAUGAAAGUACCAUGAAGAAGGAGACAAUCCUACGCCCCAAAGAGCCAGGCAGAAUACACACACUGUGCAGAAUGAGUUCACAGCACUGAGGUCCAUCUACAAGAGCCUCUCACUCUCCUGGGGAAGCUUCGUGUGCCGCACAGAAGAUGGAAAAGCAGAAAUGUUUUGGUUUUUUUUCCCCCCCAGCCAGAGACCUUAUGUCACAGCCUCACUGACAGCAACACAGUUCUUCAAGGUCUCAGCUGUUUUAGGGGAACCACGGGGCAGUUCAGGUGGAAAGAUACCAUCGCUCUUCAAAAAAAUAUUAACAACAGUUGUUAAAAAGUCUGUUCUCUUCUGUAGCAUUUCCUUAAAUGUGGGAAGAAAAAAAAAAGCUUCUUUUAUUCUAAAUAUUUGCCAUCUCUCUCCUGCCUUAGUCACCAACAAGCAAGCCAUUAGCAUGGCAAGGUCCCUGCCUGAAGUCCCCUAACUACUAGGUCCCUACUAGACUUCUGAUACAGUCAGGAUGAGGGCAUCAUUGCACACUGGCAGUUCUCUUACAUUGCAACUCUUCAAGUGAAGCAGCAGGAUUCAAUACAUGGUUUGUUUUGAAAGCUAAAAGCACAUCUCAGAAGGGCAACUUGGAAGCUCUCUGAAUGCCACUUUUGGGGAGGGAUCAGCAAAGCAGGACAUUCUCCCUAUAUGUGUGACUCUCACAUCAAAGUCACAGCAGGAAUCUCCUCGAGAUGACACUCCAAAGACUUAAAAAACCCCACACACCAUUUUUAUUUGUCUUGUUUUCUAAGGAGCCACUCAAGGUUACAUGGGCUGAUGCAGGUCCGAGUGUUGCAAGGCAAGAUGUGGUAGCAAUCUGCAACACUUAAAUUAGUCCCUUUGUGAAGGUACUUAUCCUGGUAAUAGUGCCUUUCUCUGGUUGCACUUAAAACUCUUCACAAACAGUUUAAUUUCAAGCAGAAAAAGUUUGUAUGGAGCCAAACACUUUUAAUGUUAACAGCCACACAGAAAAGCUUGCCACAUAGGUCACAAGUAAAGUCAUUACAAGAACACAUCUGCACUUCUCAGCUGCCCCUUCGUCUCGCUUUGGGGAGGCUCUACAGACACGGUGAAAAUACCAAGUUUGCAAUCUACACUUGAAAAGAGAAACUAGAAACUAUUUUGGUUAAGGUUCUGAUGCUGUUUGCAUUCCCACCAGGGAAAAGAGAGUACACAGUCCCACAAGCCAUUCAAGCUAUUAGCCAUUGCACGGCACUGUCCUGUCCUUUCCCUGUUCUGCUGCUGCCACCAGCCUGAUAAGGGGCUCAAAGUGUUCUGUGAUAGAUUAGCUUCACCCUGAAUCGGUUCCCUGACUUAACUCCCUACAUGGCAGCAGCGAUGCUGCUCAUGCUCACACAAGGGAGAGGGGCCAUUUGGCCCUGCUAGUCAAUGGCUGGUUUGAAUGCUUAAGACAACUGAACUGUUGGCCCAGUAAUCAACAAGAGGAGGCAAAGGGGGUAGCAGAAACAAGGAGAAGGAACACAGGUUAGUUUUCCAAGAAACAGAAUAGUCUAAGAAUAAGUCAGUAGUUUCUACGGCCAUGAUUGCUGUGAAACUUCAGGCACGUCACUCACUUGAUGUGUCAAUUCCAGCUGUGAAAUGAGGACAACACUUUUUACAUCACCGAAGUGAUGUAAGUUGAAAAUUAAUGACUUGGAUACUCUGAUGAUGAGGGCCAAGUCAGUACAUAGCUAAGAGAGAGGAGUGAUUAGUGACAGGGAGGGGUGAAGGAAUCAACAUAUUAUUUUUGGUGAACUGCUUCCUUGGAGGAUAAAUGAGAGAAACUGCUACUUACUUGAUUGCAAGGAAUUGUAAGAGGUCUCUGUAGCUCCCUUGUGGGUGGACAACUGAACAAUUCAAUAGCUGUGACCUAAUUUUAGUCAGAGACCUUAUGUCACAAGGAAUUUAGAGGGAGGUGUCUUCUAUGUCCAAAUAAUAAUUGCACUCUGAAGGAUAAUUAACCAGUAUUAACACAGCCAUCCAAAAUUCAGGGACAGACUAUAUCCCACUCCCCUUCCUCAUAUUCCCAAUUCUGGAAUUUCUGACUUUGAUAUCUGGCACAGAACUGC